UUUUUCUUCCCCUCGGCCCGUUCCCGCUAUGGAGGAGAACACCGACUACGGCAGUAGCAAUAACAAUAACAACACAAGUGCCGGCGGCGGUGGCGGCCAGGAAGAUUUCGCCGAAGGCUCUAAGAUCAACGCCAGCAAGAACCAGCAGGAUGACGGUAAAAUGUUCAUUGGUGGUCUGAGCUGGGAUACAAGCAAAAAAGACUUGACAGAGUAUUUGUCUCGCUUUGGUGAAGUGGUGGAUUGCACAAUAAAAACAGAUCCUGUCACAGGGAGGUCAAGAGGGUUUGGGUUUGUGCUUUUCAAAGAUGCUGCCAGUGUUGAGAAGGUCCUGGAAUUGAAAGAACACAAACUGGAUGGCAAGUUAAUAGAUCCCAAAAGGGCAAAAGCCCUGAAAGGGAAAGAGCCACCAAAAAAGGUCUUUGUUGGUGGACUGAGUCCAGAUACAUCUGAAGAACAAAUCAAGGAGUAUUUUGGCGGUUUUGGAGAGAUUGAGAAUAUAGAACUUCCCAUGGACACAAAAACUAACGAAAGGAGAGGCUUUUGCUUCAUCACAUACUCGGAUGAAGAACCAGUAAAGAAAUUGUUGGAAAGCAGAUACCAUCAGAUUGGUUCUGGCAAGUGUGAGAUCAAAGUAGCACAACCCAAAGAUGUAUAUAGGCAGCAGCAGCAGCAACAAAAGGGAGGCAGAGGUGCCUCAUCUGGUGGGCGUGGGGGAUCCAGAGGACGUGGCAGGGGUCAAGGCCAAAAUUGGAAUCAAGGGUAUAACAAUUACUACGAUCAAGGAUACGGAAGUUACAACAGUCCUUACAGUGAUCAAAGCUAUAGCAGCUAUGGGGGAUAUGAUUAUUCUGGGUACAAUUACCCAAGUUAUGGCUACAGCCAGGGAUAUGCUGACUACAGCGGACAGCAAAGCACAUAUGGAAAGGCAUCCCGAGGUGGCGGUAAUCACCAAAACAACUACCAGCCAUAUUAAAAGAAAUAUUUGGGAAGAAACAGGUGUGUAUUGGGUGAAUGUAUCACCUCUCAUAUAUCUAAUCUAAUUUAAAGAUCAAUAGACAAAUAAAUUUUUAAAAAUCACUUCUCUUGGAUAGCUUAUUUUUUUAAAAAAAACAAAACAAAAUUAAAACUUGUGUGAAUGUCUGUUAAACUUUCUGUUUUAAGUGUCUAUAGAUCUUUAACUCUGUAAAAGGUGAUUCGUCGUCCUUAGUAUGUCAGAGAAACAUAAGAGUUUUUCUGUUUACAUUUUUGUGUGCCAGGUGGUGUAGACGAAUAAUUAAACUUAAUAGAAGUGUUAACCAACAGGUAAAGUACUGAAAUGGGUACAACUUAAGCAAAACAAGAUUGUUGUCUUCUAACCUCUGACAUUAUACCUUGUUUGUACCCGCCAGCGGGAACUUCCUUGCAGGCCGUGUGUCACCCUGACCACGUCUAUCUCUGGGGGUCGCACGUUGCAGGCAGAGCGCAAGGCAUACACCAGAAAACGCUGUCCUGUGGUAGAGACUACAGCAAAGCCAUCUUGCAGAACUUAAAGGACUGACUGGAGGGGGUAGUCUUCGUGACAUGAAAUUGUUUUGUAAAAGACUUUUAGUGUAUGACACAGCAGUGUCUAACUGUACAUAGUGACUGGCUAGUUUUCUUUAUGGUUUUUACUUUUUUGUCCUUUUGUCAUCUGUGUUACGAUGCCAAUGUGGUUCUUGUGUUUAUACAAUUUUAUUUGUAUAAUUUCUUGUUGAAUGACUCAAAUAAAAACUUACCUUCUGUGACUGUUGCAUUUUGAGGUUGUGCUCUUGGCACUGCUGUAUAGUAGCAAGAGGUGAACAGUUUUUGAGACGCCGUUGCCAUGCUUUCUACAGAUGCUGGGACUUGAAGGUCAGCAGCAACUGGAGUGCCGUGUUACGGAUAUGUACCUGGACUAGAAAAUUGCAGUGAGGAGGCUGCAAACAGAGAAUGAUUAUUCAAAAGAGUAGUAUCCUGUGUUGUAAUGCCUUAUGAUUUGUUAUAAUUUUGUUAACUGCUGGGAAUCUUCAGUAUAGAAAUGUUAAUAAAUAAAUUUUCAUGCAUUGAAAUGACCACUUUGUGAUCACAUGAAAAUAGAGGCAAACACAAACCUAAUUUAUGUAGCCAUCAACUUUGGUAAGAUGCUGACUGCUAAAUAAUUGAUUUUUUUUACAACUUGUACUUGAGAAUAUAUUCUGAAUGUACUGCCACCUUUGUUAUUUCUAACCCUAAAGAUAAUGCUGAUAAAAUAUGUCUGCAAAACCA